rnacentral:rRNA from 1 species
UACGUAGGUGGCAAGCGUUGUCCGGAUUUACUGGGCGUAAAGCGCACGUAGGCGGCUUUGUAAGUUAGAGGUGAAAGCCCGGAGCUCAACUCCGGAAUUGCCUUUAAGACUGCAUCGCUUGAAUCCGGGAGAGGUGAGUGGAAUUCCGAGUGUAGAGGUGAAAUUCGUAGAUAUUCGGAAGAACACCAGUGGCGAAGGCGGCUCACUGGACCGGUAUUGACGCUGAGGUGCGAAAGCGUGGGGAGCAAACAGG